rnacentral:rRNA from 1 species
GGUGAACGCUGGCGGCGUGCCUAAGACAUGCAAGUCGAGUGGGUUUAGACCCACGGCGAACGGGUGAGUAAUACCUAGGAACUUUUCUUUAAGUGGAGGAUAACCAGCCGAAAGGUUGGAUAAUACUUCAUGUGGCAGUAAUGCUAAAGUCGCAAGACGCUUAAAGUGAGGCCUGGGCACCAUCAGCUAGUUGGUAAGGUAAUGGCUUACCAAGGCUAUGACGGUUAGGGGUCCCAGAGGGAUAACCCCCACACUGGAACUGCGACACGGUCCAGACUCCUACGGGAGGCAGCAGUUUGGAAUUUUUGGACGAUGGGCGAAAGCCUGAUCCAGCGACGCCGCGUGGACGAUGAAGGCCUUCGGGUCGUAAAGC